rnacentral:misc_RNA from 1 species
GAUUUUAUAAACUUUAACAGAGCUUAGAAAACAAGAGUUUCCUUAAAAACCAAAAGUUAGAAAGAUAAUAAACAGACACCCAUGACAUUGUUACCCAGUCCAACACCCUAUCUUUCCCUGCUCCCCUUAGAGGAAAUUAUAAUCAUGAGCUUCUGUACCAAUUUCCAAAAUUUCAACCCUUAUGUGCUGGACAGAUAGCACGGUUGGCUAGUUCUGGUUCUUGCAUUUCUCCACAGCCCUUGGGGCUAGGCCAAUGGCAUCAGAGCUCUUCAUGAUCCUCAGCCUCUUGCAUGUAUCAAUAAACAUCUCCCACGGAACAUCACCAACAAGCAUCCAGUCACCAUCUUUAUCCUCAUAGGUAAGAACAUAUUCUGAGCCAUGAAGCAGAUCCUUCAGCUUGCUCUCACUCAGCAUCUCCCUUCCCAGAGCUCCAUGAGAUCCAUAUUGACCAAUGGUAAAGCAGCCGAACAUCUUCUCGAGGGCAGAAGAUAGUUCCUGAUAUGCAGAGUAGUUUCUCAAGUCUACUUUCCUUAAAUAAGGGGCACCAUCCAUGCUAACCUUGACAAACAAAGCACCAGACCCAGCUUUUCCAUCCACUUCUUCAGUGUUCUUUGAUGUGGUAGCAAGAGAGUUCUU